UGGGGAAUUUUGGACAAUGGGGGAAACCCUGAUCCAGCCAUCCCGCGUGUUCGAUGAAGGCCUUCGGGUUGUAAAGCACUUUUGGCAGGAAAGAAACGUCAUGGGUUAAUACCCCGUGAAACUGACGGUACCUGCAGAAUAAGCACCGGCUAACUACGUGCCAGCAGCCGCGGUAAUACGUAGGGUGCAAGCGUUAAUCGGAAUUACUGGGCGUAAAGCGUGCGCAGGCGGUUCGGAAAGAAAGAUGUGAAAUCCCAGAGCUCAACUUUGGAACUGCAUUUUUAACUACCGGGCUAGAGUGUGUCAGAGGGAGGUGGAAUUCCGCAGGUAGCAGUGAAAUGCGUAGAUAUGCGGAGGAAAACCGAAGGCGAAGGCAGCCACCUGGGAUAACACUGACGCUCAUGCACGAAAGCGUGGGGAGCAAACAGG
rnacentral:rRNA from 1 species